CAGCACCUCAAGUGGUCAGGAUGAUUAUUGGGCCUAAAGCAUCCGUAGCCGGCGCUGUAGUUUUCGGUUAAAUCUGUAUGCUCAACAUACAGGCUGCCGGGAAUACUGCAGAGCUAGGGAGUGGGAGAGGUAGACGGUACUCGGUAGGAAGGGGUAAAAUCCUUUGAUCUAUUGAUGACCACCUGUGGCGAAGGCGGUCUACCAGAACACGUCCGACGGUGAGGGAUGAAAGCUGGGGGAGCAAACCGGAUUAGAUACCCGAGUAGUCC
rnacentral:rRNA from 1 species